CAAAAAUAAAAUCUGCAAGGGAGAAGCUGACAGUGGCAGGAAAGGAAGUGAGGGGCCUUUGCGAAAUCUGGAGCCAAGACAUGACCCAGAAUUCAGAGGAAAGGAAGAUGUGAGGAAGUAACCCUGCACUAUUCUUGUUCAGUUAACUUCUCCAACAGAGAAAAUUUGCACAGCUACAGAUUGUUGGAAUGCGGAAUGCUAAACAGAGUUGAGAGCUUACUUUCUGUUGGAAGUGUCUUAGUCCAUUCUGGCUGCUAUAACAAAACACCGUGGACUGGAUGGCUCACAGUCAACAGAUAACUUAUUUCUCCUAGUUCUGGAGGCUGAGAAAUCCAAGAUCAAGGUGCUGGUGAGAAGUCCAAGACGGAUGCAUGGUGAGGCCUGCUCCCUGGUUUGGGGAUGGCAUCUUCUUGUGUUUUCCCAUGGUAGAAGGAACAAGGGUCCCUUGGGGUUAUAUGGGCGUUUGCUCUGUCCAUGAGAAUUCUGCUCUCAUGACCUAAUCACCUCCCAAAGGCCCCAUCCCCUCUACCAUCAUCUUGGGGGGUUUAAAAUAUGAAUUUCGGGCUGGGUGCAAGCAUUCAGACCACAGUGGGAGGCACUGAUAUUGCGGGUGCCCCAAAUAUAUCCCACCCAGGGGAAGUUGUGCAAUACAUCUGAGAAAUUUUUAUGACCUGGGUUCCUUGAUACCACUACUCUUCUUUCAUUUCUCUUCUUUCCCCUUCCAUACUGGCUGCAUCUCUCAGUUUUUCAACACAGACUGGCCAUCCAGAACUUCCCUUCCUGAUAAUAUCUUCACUUUAAAUUUUCAAGUUUCUUUCCUCCUUCUUCAGAGCCCUGGUAGAAGGCUGACUGAGGAAGAUUGUUAAGAUGGCAGCGUGAUGUGGAGAUUUCCUGGGGAUUUCAAUUACCCAGCUUCCCCUACCCUUCAUGACAAAGGUUAAUCAUGAGGGGAAUGAAAACAACACACCGUCUGUUUCCAGUAAGUGUGCCGUGGCUGCGGACCCCCAGGCUUCCGGCUUAUGGCUUUGUCCUGAGGCACCGUCACAUCCUCCAUUUCCCCGAGUCUGGAGUGAGUACACUGUCUCAUUCUUAGCACAGAGAACUGUGAUCCUGUGGCAUAUACAAGAGAAGGUGUAUCCAAGAUUCGACUGGGAUGAAGGAAAGAAGAAAAAAGAAAGACAGACUGCAAAAUACCAAUAUAUAUAUGAAUAGCUGUGAUCACUGUAUUGCUGAUGUCUGAUGGUGUAUUGAAAUGAGCAGUUAAUGAUUACAAUUUUGUAGGGUCUGAUAGAUUGCGCAUGCUUGUGUCUGGUGGUCUGAGCAAGAGAUUUGAAGGUAACAAUAUGCAAUGGAAUUACAGUGUGAACUCCUACCAUCUUGUCUAGUGAAACUCUGUAUUAUCUCUACUGUUUUAUUGAAGAAUUGUUUUCUUAUUCCCUAUACUGGUUUGAGCAAUCUUUCAUUCUUACAUCUGGUAAUCUGAGCAAUGUAUUUGAGGAUAGGGAUAUGUAAUGUAACAACCAGUGUUGAUUCGUAUUAUUUUGUCUUGAGACUCUGUAUCACUUUGAAUGUUCUUGCUUUGAUUUGUUUAUGUUUGUGAUACUGGUACGCUGCUACUGUUCUAUGUCUUUCUUUGUUUCUCAUUUAAUACUCUUUAAAUAAAAAAAAAGUGUGUUUUUUAUAACUUAGCACUUCUCUUAUACACUUUAAAUCAUUUCUAACAUCACUACAGUGCCUUAUCUUAUAAUGUAAUACAUUACAG
rnacentral:lncRNA from 1 species